rnacentral:rRNA from 1 species
GCCGGAGGGAAACCGAGUCUUAACCGGGCGUUAAGUUGCAGGGUAUAGACCCGAAACCCGGUGAUCUAGCCAUGGGCAGGUUGAAGGUUGGGUAACACUAACUGGAGGACCGAACCGACUAAUGUUGAAAAAUUAGCGGAUGACCUGUGGCUGGGGGUGAAAGGCCAAUCAAACCGGGAGAUAGCUGGUUCUCCCCGAAAGCUAUUUAGGUAGCGCCUCGUGAAUUCAUCUCCGGGGGUAGAGCACUGUUUCGGCUAGGGGGCCAUCCCGGCUUACCAACCCGAUGCAAACUGCGAAUACCGGAGAAUGUUAUCACGGGAGACACACGGCGGGUGCUAACGUCCGUCGUGAAGAGGGAAACAACCCAGACCGCCAGCUAAGGUCCCAAAGUCAUGGUUAAGUGGGAAACGAUGUGGGAAGGCCCAGACAGCCAGGAUGUUGGCUUAGAAGCAGCCAUCAUUUAAAGAAAGCGUAAUAGCUCACUGGUCGAGUCGGCCUGCGCGGAAGAUGUAACGGGGCUAAACCAUGCACCGAAGCUGCGGCAGCGACACUGUGUGUUGUUGGGUAGGGGAGCGUUCUGUAAGCCUGUGAAGGUGUGUCGUGAGGC